AGCGUGCUGUGCCCUGUACCAAUAUGUCUGUGGUUUGGAAUUAUUUCCAAGUGUCUCCUUCGGAUUUUAAACUUGCAAUUUGCAAUGACUGCAAAGCAUUGGUUAUGCGAGGCGGAACCAAGGCUUCUUCCUUCAAUACUUCUAAUUUAAUCUCCCACCUCAGGAUGAAACAUUCUGAGAGAUACGCAGCAUUUGUGGAGCAGAAUAAUGAGAAGAAGCAACAGGGACAGGGGGCACAGAAAAAAAACACUCAGUUGAUGCUUAAAGAAUCAACCGAGAAAAAACAAAAAUACAACAAGGACCACCCCAGAGCGAAAGCCAUCAAUCAGAAAAUCAUGGAGUGUAUCGCACUGGAUAACCAGCCCUUUUCUAUCGUACAAGACGCCAGAUUCACCAAACUUGUGGAGUUCCUCGAGCCUCGUUUUGCCAUGCCCAAUCGCAAGUAUUUCUCAGAUGUUUGCCUACCUGAGUUGUACAAUGUUGUUUACAGCCACGUUGAGAAGCUAAUUGCUGAUGCUCUAUCCAUUAGCUUCACAACAGAUGUCUGGUCUUCCAGCGUUAGCCACGUUAGCAUGUUGAGCAUGACUGCUCAAUGGUUAGAUGAAGAUUUUGAGCUAAAAAAGUGUGUGCUUCAUUCCCAAAAGUGCCGUGGGUCUCAUACGGCAGAAGCAAUCACAUGUGCUUUUGAAGGUAUGUUUGAGAUGUGGAAAAUUCCUAAGGAGAGUGUGCAUGUAGUGGUCAGAGUCAACGCGCGCAACAUGGCCAAAGCUACGUCAGAGUUUGGUGUCCCAAGUCUGCCCUGCAUGGCACACACCUUGCAGCUCGCAGUGAACGAAGGUGCGCUGUCUCAGCACAGCAUUGCAGAUGCGCUGGCUAUGGGGAGGCGAGUUGUAGGCCACUUCAAGCACUCACCACUUGCUUGCAGUCGUUUGAAGACAUACAAAAAGAACUCAACAUGCCCGUGAAAAAGCUGCAACAAGAUGUCCCCACCAGGUGGAAUUCCACCUAUUAUAUGAUGCAGAGCCUGGUGGAGCAGAAGAGGGCUUUAAGUGCAUAUGCUGCUGAUUAUGAACUACCCGCAACAUUGACAGCAACUCAGUGGGGAAUUAUGGAGAAGAUGAUCACCCUGCUGGAACCCUUUGAACAGCUAACCAAGGACAUCAGCUCUGCGGAGGCCACUGCUGCAGAUGUCAUCCCUGGUGUGGUGUCCCUGACACGGCUGCUUACCCAGAUGGAUGAAUCAGACAAAGGUGUGCAAACAGCCAAACAUAUUCUAUUGGAAGCUGUCAGUAAACGCUUUAAUGGUGUGCAAAAUGAACCUCUUUAUGCGAUUGCAACCAUGGUUGAUACUCGUUACAAAGACCGUUAUUUUGACCCGGAUAAGAAGGAGGCAGCACGGAAUAUGCUGCUGAAUGUUGUGGAUGAAAUGGCCAGUGUGGGCAAUGAUCAGCAAGAAGAGGCUGCUGGUGUUAGUGCAGAUGAUCCGGGCCAAGAGGACCAGGACCCCCCCCCCACCUAAGAGGGCCCAAACUGGAAGCCUGCAGGACAUGUACCAAGAAAUCCUUGCAGAGAAUGAUGUCAACAAACAAGCGACUACAAGCGAAACAGCAUCACAGCUGUAUGCAUACCUGGGAGAAGCCACCAUCCUCAAGAAAACAUGCCCUUUGAAGUACUGGAGCUCCGCUCAGGUUCGCUUCCCUGCGCUUGCCCGAGUUGCACGCAAGUACCUCAGUGCACCCUGUACCAGUGUAGACAGCCAGCGGCUGUUGAGCGCCAUCUCCAAUAUCAUCGACGAGAAGAGAAAUCGCAUACAUUGCGACAAUGCUGAGAUGCUUAUUUUCAUUCAGAAAAAUCUACCUCUCACAUAUAUGGACAAGGGGAAAAAAUUAGACCAGUCAUACAGGCGAGUCAGCAUCAGUCUUGCACUUUAAAGGAGGGUUAUGUUUACUUGUCUGGACUGAAGCUGUUUUUAUUUUUUGUGCCUUUCUUGUUUUUA